CACUAUUGCUGACGGUUCGGGUU
rnacentral:siRNA from 1 species